AUUGAACGCUGGCGGCAGGCCUAACACAUGCAAGUCGAGCGGAUGAAGGGAGCUUGCUCCUGGAUUCAGCGGCGGACGGGUGAGUAAUUCCUAGGAAUCUCCCUGGCUGUUGGUUAUAACGUCCGGAAACGGGCGCUAAUACCGCAUACGUCCUGAGGGAGAAAGUGUGGGAUCUUCGGACCUCACGCUAUUAGAUGAUCCUAGGUCGGAUUAGCUAGUUGGUGGGUUAAAGGCCUACAAAGGCGACGAUCCGUAACUGGUCUGAGAGGAUGAUCAGUCACACGGGAACUGAGACACGGUCCAGACUCCUACGGGAGGCAGCAGUGGGGAAUAUUGGACAAUGGGCGGAAGCCUGAUCCAGCCAUGCCGCGUGUGUGAAGAAGGUCUUCGGAUUGUAAAGCACUUUUAGUUGGAAGGAAAAGCAGUAGGUUAAUACCUUGCUGUUUUGACGUUACCAACAGAAUAAGCACCGGCUAACUUCGUG
rnacentral:rRNA from 1 species